rnacentral:lncRNA from 1 species
GAUCAAAAGAAGAAAACAAAGUGGGAGAAAUAACAAAUAAAGUGAUGUUUUGUGUUUGUAAUUGGACAUUUAACUCAUAUUAAUUAUGUGGUGUUUACAAAAUAUAUCAAAUGAAUUGAUAUGGCUUAGUGGUAAAAGUAAUGAGAACUGUAACUGAAAUGUCAUGGGUUUGAAUCCUGUUGAGACUUUUUUUAUAAAACAUAUAAG